ACUGAGCGCACUGCAUUUGUAUGGAUUCUCCUGAUUCUCCAGGUUGAUAGCCAGGCACAAGUUCCCGUCCUUCACGGAGUGAACUGGGGCAGAUUGACGUUUACCACUGACAAAUGAGCUGCUGUGGCUGUAGAGCUCUGGAAAAUACUCCUCCUCCCGCAUUAACUGUGCUAUAGGAGUUUGUGUC